rnacentral:lncRNA from 1 species
AGGAUAUUUUUAGACCUCCCCUACCUCAAUAGAGACCCAUGGUGUGUUGUAAAAGUGUGUUUUCUUUACAGAAGCUGUGUUCUUUAGUGGGAAAGUCUUGCAGAACUCCCCUCUGAACUAAUACUGGAAGCAAAGAAGUAAGACAUAUCAAGAUUUAAAACAUAAAUAGCUUGGAACACCCUGAAGAGCAACAUGGGAGAAACUGAGAAAAGAAUUGAAACCCAUAGAAUAAGAUGUCUUUCCAAGUUGAAGGAAAUCUUUUGUUGAUUAUAUUUGUGAGUUAUUUUGGAACCAAACUGCAUAGACCUAUAAUGAUUGGCAUUGGAUGUGUGGUUAUGGGCUUAGGCUGUUUCUUAAAAUCACUACCUCAUUUCCUCAUGAACCAAUAUGAAUAUGAAUCUACAGUUUCAGUUUCAGGCAACUUGUCCUCAAACAGUUUCUUGUGUAUGGAAAAUGGAACCCAGAUUUUAAGACCAACGCAGGAUCCAUCAGAGUGUACAAAGGAAGUUAAAUCAUUAAUGUGGGUGUACGUCCUAGUAGGCA